rnacentral:rRNA from 1 species
AACGAACGCUGGCGGCAUGCCUAACACAUGCAAGUCGAACGGGAUCUUCGGGUCUAGUGGCGCACGGGUGCGUAACGCGUGGGAAUCUGCCCUUUGGUUCGGAAUAACAGUUGGAAACGACUGCUAAUACCGGAUGAUGACGAAAGUCCAAAGAUUUAUCGCCAGAGGAUGAGCCCGCGUAGGAUUAGCUAGUUGGUGUGGUAAAGGCGCACCAAGGCGACGAUCCUUAGCUGGUCUGAGAGGAUGAUCAGCCACACUGGGACUGAGACACGGCCCAGACUCCUACGGGAGGCAGCAGUGGGGAAUAUUGGACAAUGGGCGAAAGCCUGAUCCAGCAAUGCCGCGUGAGUGAUGAAGGCCUUAGGGUUGUAAAGCUCUUUUACCCGGGAUGAUAACGACAGUACCGGGAGAAUAAGCUCCGGCUAACUCCGUGCCAGCAGCCGCGGUAA